UACGUAGGGUCCGAGCGUUGUCCGGAAUUAUUGGGCGUAAAGGGCUCGUAGGCGGUCUGUUGCGUCGGGAGUGAAAACUUACAGCUUAACUGUGAGCGUGCUUCCGAUACGGGCAGACUUGAGGUAUUCAGGGGAGAACGGAAUUCCUGGUGUAGCGGUGAAAUGCGCAGAUAUCAGGAGGAACACCGGUGGCGAAGGCGGGUCUCUGGGCCGUUACUGACGCUGAGGAGCGAAAGCGUGGGGAGCGAACAGG
rnacentral:rRNA from 1 species